GACGAACGCUGGCGGCGUGCCUAAUACAUGCAAGUAGAACGCUGAAGGAGGAGCUUGCUUCUCUGGAUGAGCUGCGAACGGGUGAGUAACGCGUAGGUAACCUGCCUGGUAGCGGGGGAUAACUAUUGGAAACGAUAGCUAAUACCGCAUAAUAGUAGAUGUUGCAUGACAUUUACUUAAAAGGUGCAAUUGCAUCACUACCAGAUGGACCUGCGUUGUAUUAGCUAGUUGGUGGGGUAACGGCUCACCAAGGCGACGAUACAUAGCCGACCUGAGAGGGUGAUCGGCCACACUGGGACUGAGACACGGCCCAGACUCCUACGGGAGGCGGCAGUAGGGAAUCUUCGGCAAUGGACGAAAGUCUGACCGAGCAACGCCGCGUGAGUGAAGAAGGUUUUCGGAUCGUAAAGCUCUGUUGUAAGAGAAGAACGAGUGUGAGAGUGGAAAGUUCACACUGUGACGGUAUCUUACCAGAAAGGGACGGCUAACUACGUG
rnacentral:rRNA from 1 species